rnacentral:rRNA from 1 species
ACUGAGGUGGCGGACGGGUGAGUAACGCGUGGGUAACCUGCCUCAUACAGGGGAUAACAGUUAGAAAUGACUGCUAAUACCGCAUAAGACCACAGUACCGCAGUGGUACAGGGGUAAAAACUCCGGUGGUAUGAGAUGGACCCGCGUCUGAUUAGGUAGUUGGUGGGGUAACGGCCUACCAAGCCGACGAUCGGUAGCCGGACUGAGAGGUUGAACGGCCACAUUGGGACUGAGACACGGCCCAG